CCUACGGGAGGCAGCAGUGAGGAAUAUUGGUCAAUGGACGAGAGUCUGAACCAGCCAAGUAGCGUGAAGGAUGACUGCCCUAUGGGUGGUAAACUUCGUUUAUAUGGGAAUAAAAUGUUCCACGUGUGGGAUUUUGUAUGUACCAUAUGAAUAAGGAUCGGCUAACUCCGUGCCAGCAGCCGCGGUAAUACGGAGGAUCCGAGCGUUGUCCGGAUUUAUUGGGUUUAAAGGGAGCGUAGGUGGAUUGUUAAGUCAGUUGUGAAAGUUUGCGGCUCAACCGUAAAAUUGCAGUUGAAACUGGCAGUCUUGCGUACAGUAGAGGUGGGCGGAAUUCGUGGUGUAGCGGUUAAAUGCUUAGAUAUCACGAAGAACUCCGAUUGCGAAGGCAGCUCACUGGACUGCAACUGACACUGAGGCUCGAAAGUGUGGGUAUCAAACAGGAUUAGAUACCCGUGUAGUC
rnacentral:rRNA from 1 species